UAAAGAUAUAUUAAAAACACCACUAAUACGUAAUUCUUGUUUAACCUUAAUAGAACCAAAACAGUUGUGAUAUUAUUGCCCCAGGCGUACUUGUAUGUCAUGUCUCGGAAAUGAAUAAUACUGUCAACAACUUUCAACAAUAACUUUCUUUCAAGGAGGGAAUUCCUGAUUAUAAAAGCACCCUGUCAUACUACUGAAUAAAAUGGAUGUGAACAUGAUUGAAACGUUAAAAAGAAGCAGCAAAUACAAAAGAAAGAAUCAAAACUUGAAAGUGGAUUGACCGAUUCAACCAUGUUUUAGCACCAUUUUCAAAACUAUUGUGCUAUUUCUUGCGGGUCGAUUUUAUUGGUGGAGGAAGCAGAAGUGCCUAGAGAGAACAAAUAACCUAUGCAAUUUUCAAGUGGCUAUACCUUUCAUGUAACUAUUAAUGUGUUGCCUAUGCAUUGAAUUGUACCACUUCUUAGUGACUGGAUAGGUUAAACCAAUGCAUUCCUAGAAAACUACUACACCAAUGAACAGCACCUGCCCCUUUGCUGCUAAUUAAGUACAAAUGGCUUCACUAGAAGAGGACGACACCUAGAAAAAGCAUCAAUUAUUUGUCCUUCCUGAUUGAAGGAUUUAUUUUUACAAAUCCAACUGUAUAUGCCAUUUAUACACAAUUUUUACGAUAGUAUAAUGUUAUAAAUUCGCUAAUUUUCAGAUCUAAGCUAGUCCAGUUAGAUAUCAACUUAUGAUAUGCAGUGAAGACAGAUCAUUGUAAUUGUUUAAAUUACCGAUAAUUAAAGUAUACAUGUACAGUACUGUAUGCAUGUUUGGCA